rnacentral:rRNA from 1 species
UACGUAGGGGGCAAGCGUUGUCCGGAUUUAUUGGGCGUAAAGAGCGUGUAGGCGGCCAUGCAGGUCCGUUGUGAAAACUGGAGGCUUAACCUCCAGACGUCGAUGGAAACCGUAUGGCUAGAGUCCGGAAGAGGAGAGUGGAAUUCCUGGUGUAGCGGUGAAAUGCGCAGAUAUCAGGAAGAACACCCGUGGCGAAGGCAGCUCGCUGGAACGGUACUGACGCUGAGGCGCGAAAGCGUGGGUAGCAAACGGG